rnacentral:rRNA from 1 species
CAAGAGCAUGUCUAAGUAUAAGCAUACGUGCUGCGAAUGGCUCAUUUCAGUUAUCGUUUAUUUGAUAGUACCUUACUACAUGGAUAACCGUGGUAAUUCUAGAGCUAAUACAUGCUAAAACCCCAACUUCGGAAGGGGUGUAUUUAUUAGAUAAAAAACCAAUGCCCUUCGGGGCUYCUUGGUGAAUCAUAAUAACUUCACGAAUCGCAUGGCCUUGCGCCGGCGAUGGUUCAUUCAAAUUUCUGCCCUAUCAACUUUCGAUGGUARGRUAKWGGCCUACCAUGGUUUCAACGGGUAACGGGGAAUUAGGGUUCGACUCCGGAGAGGGAGCCUGAGAAACGGCUACCACAUCCAAGGAAGGCAGCAGGCGCGCAAAUUACCCAAUCCCGACACGGGGAGGUAGUGACAAUAAAUACUGAUACAGGGCUCUUUUGGGUCUUGUAAUUGGAAUGAGUACAAUUUAAAUCCCUUAACGAGGAACAAUUGGAGGGCAAGUCUGGUGCCAGCAGCCGCGGUAAUUCCAGCUCCAAUAGCGUAUAUUAAAGUUGUUGCAGUUAAAAAGCUCGUAGUUGAACCUUGGGCCUGGCUGGCCGGUCCGCCUCACCGCGUGUACUKGUCCGGCCGGGCCUUUCCUUCUGGGGAGCCGCAUGCCCUUCACUGGGCGUGUCGGGGAACCAGGACUUUUACUUUGAAAAAAUUAGAGUGUUCAAAGCAGGCCUUUGCUCGAAUACAUUAGCAUGGAAUAAUAGAAUAGGACGUGYGGUUCUAUUUUGUUGGUUUCUAGGACCGCCGUAAUGAUUAAUAGGGAUAGUCGGGGGCAUCMGUAUUCAAUUGUCAGAGGUGAAAUUCUUGGAUUUAUUGAAGACRAACUACUGCGAAAGCAUUUGCCAAGGAUGUUUUCAUUAAUCAGUGCG